AAAUUGAAGAGUUUGAUCAUGGCUCAGAUUGAACGCUGGCGGCAGGCCUAACACAUGCAAGUCGAACGGUAACAGGAAGCAGCUUGCUGCUUUGCUGACAAGUGGCGGACGGGUGAGUAAUGUCUGGGAAACUGCCUGAUGGAGGGGGAUAACUACUGGAAACGGUAGCUAAUACCGCAUAACGUCGCAAGACCAAAGAGGGGGACCUUCG
rnacentral:rRNA from 1 species